rnacentral:lncRNA from 1 species
CACUUAGCAUAAUGGAAUGAUUGACAGGUGGAUAUUUACACUCAGCUGCCUAAAUGGGCAAAUCAAUCAACUGGUGGCAGUGCAGAAAGAGGGCCACAGGAGGAAUUAACGGGCCCCAGGACCACUGUGGCCACUCCCUGUGGGUGUCAUUGAAGAUGCUGAGAUAUUCUAAGGCCGCUUGCUUUUCCUAAGAUGGCACCUGUGAUGGCUCCUCCAGACUAAUACAUAAUCUAACGGUCCUUUUAUAGUUGUGGUUUGUGGAAAACACUACUGCAGCCCCUGACUAGUCCUUCGAAACCUGCACGAGUUGUCUCAACUUCAGGCAUCUCAGUUUCCUUAUCUGGGAAACGAAGAUGAAGUUGGCUGUCCCAGAGCGGUGGUGAAAAUCAAACGUGGGGACGUGCGUGGGGCGUUGCAUGGCAGGAUUCCUUGGUGAUAUCUGGUGAAUAAUUACAACACAGAGCCAGUGAAGACCACGGCCUCGGGAAUCCGAUUUCCUGCACUUAAACCCUGUCUUCACCACCUGCGUGUCCCUGCGUAAGUGACUUACCCUAUCUCAGGCUUGGUUCCUCGUCCCUGCAAUGGGGGUGGUCCCAGCGUCCACCUCACACGACCGCCCUGGAGCUUAAAUGAGGUUGUGCCAGCAGAGCCUGGCCCAAGGCUGGCACAGGCCAUGACCUCAAUAACCAGGAGCUAUGACUCGGCUUGUUUAAACCUCAGCACCCACAGAGGCACUUCCAGAAACACCAGAGGAGGGCCAGCACGUGAUCUUGGACUUGUCUGGGAAGGAUAAUGUGCGUAUUGAGGACAAGCAGACUUUACUUGCAGACUCAAAUGGGACACCCUACUUGAGCUAGACUAGGGCGGGUUUAGGGAGACCCCCGAAAACAAGUCAUACCCACAUGGGUCACAUAGACUGCUCCCUCUCUCCUGGCCUGUGGUGUCGGCUGAGCCCAGUGAGUUAGAAAAGCAGAGAACAUCUAGUUCUAAGAAUCAGAAUACCUACGAAAAGAUCAGUCGAGCCGCAAAAUAUUAUCUUAAAAUUAAAAUAUAAGUCAGUGGGAAAUUAAUUUCACCAAAUGUUCCAGACCAUUUCGGAUGUCAAACAGGGGGCAUCCCGGGCACGUUCUAAAGCAGUGGUUUCCAAAGCAGGAUCCUUGAUCCUGCAGCAAAUUUGCAGGUCCCACCACAAUCCUACGGAAUCAGAAAUUCUGGGCAGGGCAUCAGCCUUCGUGUUUCAAUGAGCAGCGGGGCAUCUGGAUACAUGCUCCUUCGAGAAUCACAGCCCUUAUGGGAAGAAGUGGAUGCAGCUGACAGACAUGUCUGUCUGUGUCCUGGGAGCUCAGACCUCCCGCGUCAUACACACCCCCUGCUCUCCCUCCUCCCUUGUCACACUUACAAACUAUCUUCUCUUCUUCAAAACUG